AGUAGCAUUAACUCUUAAACACAGUGUUGAUCAUAGCUUUCAGAUAUUGGAUUUUUUUAUAUUGUCUCUCCAGAGUUGUACCAUUGCUACUUAGUAAAGGCUAUAGCUUAGAUCAGAAUGUAUCUGGAAAAUAAUGAUUUUUAUGUGUUACGUUAAGCAAACUUGGAUGAAACUCGUCUCCUAGUAAGGAUUAUUAUGCAUAUUUUAUUCCACGUCUGGACACAGAUUUUGUUGUUGGAUGGCUUUUUUAAUCUCUAGGUUUUAUUGAAUAGAAUUACUCACACCCACUCACUAAAUUUGCUCAUUGAUUAAUUAUCAAUUUACCAUAUAUUAAGAUUACUGGUAAGAUAUUAGCAGAGCAUACAUUUGACAGUCCAGGGGUUGGACUUGGAAGAGUAAUCGGCAUUUCAAGAGCUGUCAACCAAGGUGAAAAUUGGAAAAAGGAAAUAAGAAAUUGUUGCUGAAUGUGGCUAUAAAGCGUGUUGUGUACCAAGAAGGAAGCAAUGGAAGGAGGACUGGGAUGUGUAAUUUGAAUGAGGCUGCUACUUUGGGCAGAGAUGAUGCUCUUAAAGACUGGGCAUAGAAGAAUGGCAUUCCUUCCGCACAGAGACCUUUAAGGCUUUAACUGUGGUUUUCCUUAAAAUGAGUAAAUGUUUGUUGAUGCUUGUGGUGGUGAUAAUGAGCUCAUGGAGAUGUUGACAUAUAGCAUGCUGUAAUAAGAUGAUGGCGACUUCAACAUCAAUGCAUUUGUUGAUGCUAGUGUACUGACUGCAAUAAUCUCGUGGAAGGUGAGGAUAAUUAGAUUUAGAACGAUGACGACUUCUUUCAUUCCCCAAUUAAAAUGAUGAUGAUUGUAUACAGUGUGGUUGUCAAUUGUUUGUGCUAUUUAGUAAUGCACCUUAGUAAUUAAUAUGACCUUCCAUCA